rnacentral:rRNA from 1 species
AAAGAUUAAGCCAUGCAUGUCUAAGUGUAAACAAUUACAUAGUGAAACUGCGAAUGGCUCAUUAUAUAAGUUAUCGUUUAUUUGAUAGUUCCUUACUACUUGGAUAACCGUGGUAAUUCUAGAGCUAAUACAUGCUAAAAACCCCGACUUCGGAAGGGGUGUAUUUAUUAGAUUAAAAACCAAUGCCCUUCGGGGCUCACUGGUGAUUCAUAAUAACUUCUCGAAUCGCAUGGCCUUGCGCCGGCGAUGGUUCAUUCAAAUUUCUUCCCUAUCAACUUUCGAUGCUAGAGUAGUGUUCUAGCAUGGUUACAACGGGUAACGGAGGGUUAGGGCUCGACCCCGGAGAAGGAGCCUGAGAAACGGCUACUACAUCCAAGGAAGGCAGCAGGCGCGCAAAUUACCCAAUCCCGACACGGGGAGGUAGUGACGAUAAAUACUGAUACAGGGCUCUUUUGGGUCUUGUAAUUGGAAUGAGUACAAUUUAAAUCCCUUAACGAGGAACAAUUGGAGGGCAAGUCUGGUGCCAGCAGCCGCGGUAAUUCCAGCUCCAAUAGCGUAUAUUAAAGUUGUUGUGGUUAAAAAGCUCGUAGUAGAACCUUGGGCCUGGCUGGCCGGUCCGCCUCACCGCGUGCACUGGUCCGGCCGGGCCUUUCCCUCUGUGGAACCGCAUGCCCUUCACUGGGUGUGCCGGGGAAACAGGACUUUUACUUUGAAAAAAUUAGAGUGCUCCAGGCAGGCCUUUGCUCGAAUACAUUAGCAUGGAAUAAUAGAAUAGGACGUGUGGUUCUAUUUUGUUGGUUUCUAGGACCGCCGUAAUGAUUAAUAGGGACAGUCGGGGGCAUCAGUAUUCAAUUGUCAGAGGUGAAAUUCUUGGAUUUAUUGAAGACUAACUACUGCGAAAGCAUUUGCCAAGGAUGUUUUCAUUUAUCAGGAACGAAAGUUAGGGGAUCGAAGACGAUCAGAUACCGUCGUAGUCUUAACCAUAAACUAUGCCGACUAGGGAUCGGACGAUGUUAUUUUUUGACUCGUUCGGCACCUUACGAGAAAUCAAAGUGCUUGGGCUCCAGGGGGAGUAUGGUCGCAAGGCUGAAACUUAAAGAAAUUGACGGAAGGGCACCACCAGGGGUGGAGCCUGCGGCUUAAUUUGACUCAACACGGGGAAACUCACCAGGUCCAGACACAAUGAGGAUUGACAGAUUGAGAGCUCUUUCUUGAUUUUGUGGGUGGUGGUGCAUGGCCGUUCUUAGUUGGUGGAGUGAUUUGUCUGCUUAAUUGCGAUAACGAACGAGACCUUAACCUGCUAAAUAGCCCGUAUUGCUUUGGCAGUACGCCGGCUUCUUAGAGGGACUCUCGGCUCAAGCCGAUGGAAGUUUGAGGCAAUAACAGGUCUGUGAUUCCCUUAGAUGUUCUGGGCCGCACGCGCGUUACACUGACGGAGCCAGCGAGUUCUCCCUUGGCCGGAAGGCCCGGGUAAUCUUGUUAAACUCCGUCGUGCUGGGGAUAGAGCAUUGCAAUUAUUGCUCUUCAACGAGGAAUCCCUAGUAAGCGCAAGUCAUCAGCUUGCGUUGAUUACGUCCCUGCCCUUUGUACACACCGCCCGUCGCUACUACCGAUUGAAUGGCUCAGUGAGGCUUUCGGACUGGCCCAGAGAGGUGGGCAACUACCACUCAGGGCCGGAAAGUUAUCCAAACUCGGUCAUUUAGAGGAAGUAAAAGUCGUAACAAGGUCUCCGUUGGUGAACCAGCGGAGGGAUCAUUACUGA